rfam:Hordeum vulgare subsp. vulgare, WGS project CAJW01000000 data, contig: morex_contig_1687441
GGACAGUGAAGAUUGAUAUUUGGCCAGGUUCGUAGUAACUGGCAUUUGUUUGCCUUGCCGACCAUACUGCUAUAUCAUCACCUAUAUUCCGAGUCC